CACUCUUCUGACACUGUUUUUUCACCAAACAGAAUGCAAUGGCUACUCUGAAGUAACUGCUGGGUAUUUAGUGAGCUCCAAAUAAGGACUAAAUUCAAACGGUAGUCUUGAAGAUUCACUCAGCCUUCUUGACAGGAUUCUCACUGAGAAGUCAUCAUUUCUCAGCAAUGCCCGGGUAAUGCCAAUGCCAUGAUGGAACCACAGAACUGAACCUCGGUCUUCUUGCUGAUUGUCAGCCAUCAGAGACAGCUUUUGUCAGGUCACCUAGAAGACAACUUAAGUCAUAAGUUUCACAGAUCGCAAAUUAAAUCACUGGAACUUUUUAAGUCCUUUCAAGAAA